rnacentral:rRNA from 1 species
CAUGCGAGUCGAGCGAGCGGAACUAGCAGAAGUCUUCGGAAGGACGCUAGGAAAGCGAGCGGCGGAUGGGUGAGUAACACGUGGGUAACCUGCCCAUAAGACUGGGAUACCACUUGGAAACAGGUGCUAAUACCGGAUAAAAGUAAGAGUCGCAUGACUUUUAUUUAAAAGGCGGCGUAAGCUGUCACUUAUGGAUGGACCCGCGGUGCAUUAGCUAGUUGGUAAGGUAACGGCUUACCAAGGCAACGAUGCAUAGCCGAGUUGAGAGACUGAACGGCCACAUUGGGACUGAGACACGGCCCAAACUCCUACGGGAGGCAGCAGUAGGGAAUCUUCCACAAUGGACGAAAGUCUGAUGGAGCAACGCCGCGUGAGUGAAGAAGGUUUUCGGAUCGUAAAGCUCUGUUGUUGGUGAAGAAGGAUAGAGGUAGUAACUGGCCUUUAUUUGACGGUAAUCAACCAGAAAGUCACGGCUAACUACGUGCCAGCAGCCGCGGUAAUACGUAGGUGGCAAGCGUUGUCCGGAUUUAUUGGGCGUAAAGCGAGCGCAGGCGGAAAAAGAAGUCUGAUGUGAAAGCCCUCGGCUCAACCGAGGGAUUGCAUCGGAAACCGAUUUUCUUGAGUGCAGAAGAGGAGAGUGGAACUCCAUGUGUAGCGGUGGAAUGCGUAGAUAUAUGGAAGAACACCAGUGGCGAAAGCGGCUCUCUGGUCUGUCACUGACGCUGAGGCUCGAAAGCAUGGGUAGCAAAC